rnacentral:rRNA from 1 species
CAGCCGCCACGGGAAUACGUAGGUGGUAAGCGUUGUCCGGAAUUAUUGGGCGUAAAGCGCGCGCAGGCGGAUCAGUUAGUCUGUCUUAAAAGUUCGGGGCUUAACCCCGUGAUGGGAUGGAAACUGCUGAUCUAGAGUAUCGGAGAGGAAAGUGGAAUUCCUAGUGUAGCGGUGAAAUGCGUAGAUAUUAGGAAGAACACCAGUGGCGAAGGCGACUUUCUGGACGAAAACUGACGCUGAGGCGCGAAAGCCAGGGGAGCGAACGGGAUUAGAGACCCCGGUAGUCCCUGUCUCUUAUACA